rnacentral:rRNA from 1 species
GGGGUGCAGCAGGCGCGAAAACUUCACACUGCAGGAAACUGUGAUGAGGGAACUCCAAGUGCAUGCACAAUGUGUAUGCUUUUCCUUACUUUUAAUCGGUUUGGGAAUAAGGGCUGGGAAAGACCGGUGCCAGCCGCCGCGGUAAUACCGGCAGCUCAAGUGGUCGUCGCUUUUAUUGGGCCUAAAACGUCCGUAGCCUGUUUGGUAAAUCUGUGGGUAAAUCAACCAGCUCAACUGGUUGAAUUCUGCAGAGACUGCCAGACUAGGGACCGGGAGAGGUGUGGGGUACUCUCGGGGUAGGGGUAAAAUCCUGUCAUCCUGGGAGGACCACCAGUUGCGAAGGCGCCACACUGGAACGGAUCCGACGGUCAGGGACGAAGCCUAGGGGCACGAACCGGAUUAGAUACCCGGGUAGUCCUAGGAGUAAACGCUGUGAACUUGGUGUCGGGGAUCCUACUUGGGUUCCCGGUGCCGGAGUGAAGAUGUUAAGUUCACUGCCUGGGGAGUACGGUCGCAAGGCUGAAACUUAAAGGAAUUGGCGGGGGAGCACUGCAACGGGAGGAGCGUGCGGUUUAAUUGGAUUCAACGCCGGAAAACUCACCAAGGCCGACUGUUAGAUGAAGACCAGCGUAAUGAGCUUGUCGGAUUUUCAGAGAAGUAGUGCAUGG